rnacentral:rRNA from 1 species
GACGAACGCUGGCGGCGUGCUUAACACAUGCCAGUCGUACGGUAAGGCCCUUUCGGGGGUACACGAGUGGCGCACGGGUGAGUAACACGUGAGUAACCUGCCCACAACUUUGGGAUAACGCUAGGAAACUGGUGCUAAUACUGGAUAUGUGCUCCUGCUGCAUGGUGGGGGUUGGAAAGCUCCGGCGGUUGUGGAUGGACUCGCGGCCUAUCAGCUUGUUGGUGGGGUAGUGGCCUACCAAGGCGGCGACGGGUAGCCGGCCUGAGAGGGUGACCGGCCGCAUUGGGACUGAGAGACGGCCCAGACUCCUACGGGAGGCAGCAGUGGGGAAUAUUGCACAAUGGGCGCAAGCCGGAUGCAGCAACGCCGCGGGCGGGAGGACGGCCUUCGGGUUGUAAACCGCUUUCAGCAGGGACGAAGCUUUUUGUGACGGUACCUGCAGAAGAAGCACCGGCUAACUACGUG